rnacentral:rRNA from 1 species
GACGAACCGUGCGAACGUUGUUCGGAAUCACUGGGCAUAAAGGGCGCGUAGGCGGCUUUUCAAGUCAGGGGUGAAAUCCGGCAGCUCAACUGUCGAAGUGCCCUUGAUACUGAUGAGCUCGAGGGAGGUAGGGGUCUGUGGAACUUCCGGUGGAGCGGUGAAAUGCGUUGAUAUCGGAAGGAACGCCGGUGGCGAAAGCGACGGACUGGACCUCUUCUGACGCUGAGACGCGAAAGCGUGGGAGCAACAGG